UCAUUAAUGCUGAAGAAGGAAAAGAGUCCUCUGAUAUUGCUGAAAAUGCAUCUUACCAUGGACGAGUGAAGUACUUUUGGAAGUAGAAGAACAACAAUAAGAACAACUGCACAUUAAAACUCACUGAUGUGAAGUUGACAGACAGGGCUGAUUACAGGGCAAGAAUUAUAACUGGCAAGGACAAAUGGCAGAGCUGUAAUGCUGUACAAUUGUCAGUCACAGACCUGACCGUUUCGAUCCCCACACCUGUGAUGAAAGGUCGUCAGGUGAAGCUGAGCUGCAAUAAGGGCUGCAGAUUGAAUAGCAACCCCACAGUGGUAUGGAGAAAGAAUGGAGAAGAGUUACCUGGUGAACCAACAGACAACUCUGAGCUUCUCCUCCAGAGAGUCAGUACUGAAGAUGAGGGAGGUUAUUCCUGUGCUCUAAAAGGCCAUGAGGGACAUCCAUCUCCUCCA